UGUGUGGCCGGGAUAAGUGCUGAAAGCAUCUAAGCACGAAGCCCCCCUCAAGAUGAGAUUUCCCAUUGCGCAAGCAAGUAAGAUCCCUCAAAGACGAUGAGGUAGAUAGGUUCGGGGUGGAAGCGUGGCGACACGUGCAGCUGACGAAUACUAAUCGAUCGAGGACUUAACCAACA
rnacentral:rRNA from 1 species